rnacentral:rRNA from 1 species
AACGAACGCUGGCGGCAGGCUUAACACAUGCAAGUCGAGCGCCCCGCCAGGGGAGCGGCCGACGGGUGAGUAACGCGUGGGAACGUACCUUUUGGUUCGGAACAACUCCGGGAAACUGGAGCUAAUACCGGAUAAGCCCUAACGGGGAAAGAUUUAUCGCCGAAAGAUCGGCCCGCGUCUGAUUAGCUAGUUGGUGAGGUAACGGCUCACCAAGGCGACGAUCAGUAGCUGGUCUGAGAGGAUGAUCAGCCACACUGGGACUGAGACACGGCCCAGACUCCUACGGGAGGCAGCAGUGGGGAAUAUUGGACAAUGGGCGCAAGCCUGAUCCAGCCAUGCCGCGUGAGUGAUGAAGGCCUUAGGGUUGUAAAGCUCUUUUGUCCGGGAAGAUAAUGACUGGACCGGAAGAAUAAGCCCCGGCUAACUUCGU